UUACUUACCUGGCAGGGAAGAUGCCAUGUAGUUUCCCCAGGGCAAGGCUCAUUCCCUGCACUCCAAGUGUGCUGAUCCCUGCAAUUUCCCCAUAUGUGGGAAACUCGACUGCAUAAUUCAUGGUACUGUU
rnacentral:snRNA from 1 species